rnacentral:rRNA from 1 species
CAGUCCAAGAUAUUAGUCAAUGCUCGAAAGAGUGAACUAGCUAACUGAAAUCAAUUAAAAUAAUUGAUAACAUAAGGGAAAAUAAUGAUAUUACCUUAUUAUUAGUGUCGUCCAAAUCUGGUGCCAGAAGACUCGGUAAGGCCAGAGACACAAACGUUAAUCGUCUUAAUCAGGCGUAAAGGGUUUGUAGGCGGCUUUAAAAUUUACUUAUAAAAAAAAAUAAUAAGUAAAAAAUAAAAGCUAGAAUCAAAUAGAGGAUAUAUGAAAGAAUGCUUAGAGUAGGUCUGAUAUCUGUAGAUACUAAGUAGAAUAUUAAAGGCGAAAGCUUUUUUCCAUUAAUGAUUGACGCUCAGAAACGAAGGUGAGGAUAGGAAAUAGGAUUAGAUACCCAGAAUACCCCUCUCUGUCAACGAUGAAUGGUAGUUAUUAGUAAGAAUUAUUAAUGGCAAAGUUAACACGAUAACCAUUCCGCCUUGUGAGUACAACUGCAAAGUUGAAAACAAAAAAAUUAGUCGGUUUCGGAGCAAACGAAGUGAAGCAUGUUAUUUAAUUCAAUAAAUCCG